rnacentral:tRNA from 1 species
GGGCUGUAGCUCAGUUGGGAGAGCGACUGGUUCGCAAUCAGUAGGUCGACGGUUCGAUCCCGUUCAGCUCC